CACUUUUUCACCAGCAAGAAAAGAACGGAAAAAGAGACUUUUCAAAGCCUCUCACACACCCAGCCUGCAGCCAGCUGACACUUUAAAUCAUUUCAGACAGUUUUCUACGUCACAACCUCAGUUCAGUUCGACCCGGAUAUGCACACUGCCGCUUGUCUUUUAGACGCCAACAGGUCCGCAGAUUCUCCCGCAAUAUCAACAAAAACACAGCUUUUCACGGGCCACGGCGGGUCCACAAAUGCACAGUAGUCAAGCAAUCACCGUGACGUCUGCCGUCCGAUCACCUGAUCUGGCCUCGACCUCCGCCGACAACAAACACCUGUACUUCUUUCUACUGAUCUUCAGAUGCCUCGCAUCCUCCACCAAAUGAAGCAAGAUCGAUCAACUGGAGACCAGAACAACAAACGACGGAGGCACCAGACAAGUGCAAUCAAACGAUGAGUUUAUUAACACCAGAGAGGAACCAUCAGCAUAUGUCUUCCUCUGACAAAAAUACAUUGAAUGCUGGUUUUAUAGCAUAGAAAAUUAACGCCCACACAUACAUGUCAAAUACAGGUCAAAAAUACAUUGUUUACAGACAUGAGCACAUCUCGUACAUCUUAAUAACUAUAAACAGUCAUGUAACUUCUCUUUUCUAUAACACUUGCCUUUUAAGGUAAUAAACUUCAAGCUUCAGGGUCUCUAAGGGCUAAUAAUGGACCCUCGUCACCAAUCACUAAGUAGACAGAAUUGGCGCAGGUCUCAAAGAAAAGCAGAAGACACUUGGGCCUUCGCUCAGGCCUGCUACUAGAUUAAUAUGUGUAUUGUAAGCAUGCAUGCAAUUAACCUGCUAUGUUCUCAUCUUCCCUCAACAUGUAUCACCUGGACACUCUCACCAGUGAAGCUUAAAACCCUCUUGGAUGGAACAUCAACUCUAAACAAGCACAGUUAUGCAUUGUGUAUAGAAUGAACUCAACCUGUGAAUAGAAAGGUCACUGUGAUGACAAACAUAUUCAAUGCAAUAUGAACCCUGUAAGAAAUAUUACUGAUAAAAUAAUGCUGUAAAACAUGUUAUUAAUGCAUUUAUCAUAAGGCAGGUUAUAUGGUAACAAUAAAAGAAUCUCUGAAUCCCAACAAGCUCUUAAGCAGGUGAUUAAGCUGCUUCCACAUCCUGCAAGAAGCAACCGGGACAGCUGACUACUUUUACAAAUUCUCUUUUCACAUAUCUUUAGGUUACCGAAAAAUGAUCAAAUGUAAGCAGCUCUAACUCUGACUCUUUUCUGACACAGGUAGGAUGGACCUUGUCGCUUGACAAGUCGUCAUUUUAAUCCUACAUCCAAAAAAACCUAAUAAAGAAUUCA
ensembl:lncRNA